rnacentral:misc_RNA from 1 species
CGCACCUUGCGCUCCUUGGUAUUCCGAGGAGCAUGCCUGUUUGAGUGUCGUGUAAUUCUCAACUCAUAAGGUUCUUACGAGCUUUGUGCAGUUGGACGUGGAGGCUUUUGCUGGCUCUAAUCGGUCGGCUCCUCUCAAAUGCAUUAGCUUGAUUCCUUGCGGAUCGGCUCUCAGUGUGAUAAUUGUCUACGCUGUGACCGUGAAGCGUUUGGCGAGCUUCUAAUCGUCUCUUAGAGACAAUACUUUGACAUCUGACCUCAAAUCAGGUAGGAUUACCCGCUGAACUUAA